UUUUCAGUUCUUCUGACCUCUUUAAUUUCCCCUUGUCUUCGGUUCCUGUUCUUUCUCUAUUAUCUUCUCUGCUCUUCUUUUCUUUUUUUUUUAAUUUAAUUUUUUUUCGUUACUUCUGAACUUUUUACUUCUUGUUUUACUUCUGCUUCCUCUCCAUCCCCACCCCUGCCCCACUUCCCUGGACGACAAGGUCAUCCCAGUUAUCCCUGAUAUCCUGAUCCUGGUCUUCCAUUGGUUCUGCCCAGCAUCGAUGCUGCCCCCACCUUCUGCACCUUCUCUUCCAUGAAGAACAUGUCCACAUUGGUCCUAGGAGAGUCCCACCUGCUACUGCUGCUGCCUGCCAUCUGCAGCCAAGUGUGACUGUGUGUGAAGCGACCUUUAGGUUAGCUGAGGUGAGUCACUGAAUUUGCUCCCCUUUGGUGGCUUGGUGUCCACUGUGGCUUUGAUUGACAUUUCCCAAAUGACUAAUGAUGCUGAGCAGUUCUUCAUGUGCUUGUUUAUCAUCAUUUAAAAUUGCAUAUCCCUUUUAAUUUUGUUUUCAUACUUUUAUUUUUAAUUGACAAAUAAUAAUUAUAUGUAUUUCUGAGGUAUGAUGUGAUAUUUUGAUACAUGUAUGUAUUGUGGAAUGAUAAAAUCAGACCAGGCAGCAUAUCUAUUACUUCAAAUACUUAUCAUUUUCUUGUUUUUUUUUUUUUUUUGUGUGUGUGUGUACCGGGGUUUGAACUCAGGGACACUCAACCACUGAGCCACAUCUCCAGCCCUAUUUUGUAUUUAGAGAUAGGGUCUCACUGAGCUGCUUAGCACCUUGCUGUUGCUGAGGCUUGCUUUGAAUUUGCAAUCCUCCUGCCUCAGUCUCCUGAGCUGCUAGGUCAUUUCUUUGUGAUGAGAACAUUUAAAAAUGUUUCUUUGGCCAAUGGGGUGGUGCAUGCCUAUAAUCUCAGUGACUGGAGAGGUUGAGGCAAGAGGAUUCAAGUUCAAAGCCAGCCUCAGCAACUUAGCAAGACCCUGUCUCAAAAUAAAAAAUAAAAAUGGCUGAAAAUGUGGCUUAGUUAAGAACCCGUGGGUUCAAUUCCUGGUAUAAAAACAAAACAAGCAAAAAAAAAUUUUUUCUUUUUAGCUACUUUGAAAUGUAUGUUAAUUAUAGUCACUUUACUGUGACUUCUUCCUCCUACAGAAGUGUGAUUUUUUUUUAUCCAUUGACCAAGUGCUCCCCUUUUCCUGUCUAUCCCCCAUCCCCUACUAACUCCUGGGGACCACCAUUGUACUCUCUACUUCUAUAACUUUUGAAGAUUGUAUUUAUAAGUGAGAUCAUGUAAUAUUUGUCUCUUUGUACCUGACUUAUUUCACUUCUACGUUAUAUCAUCUUCUAUGUUCAGUCAAUUUGUUGAAAAUGACAGAAUUUAUAUAUUCAUUGUGUAUAUGUUCAUUGUGUAUAUAGACCAUGUUUUAAAAAAUGAUUCAUCCAUUGUUGGGCAUCACAGUUGUUUUUGUAUCUUAGGGAUUGAGAAUAAUGCUGCAACAAGCAUGGGAAUAUAGGCAUCUUCUGGGCAUCCUGACUUCAGUUCGGGUACGUACCCAGUCGUGGAACUGUCGGAUCAUAUGGUAAUUCUAUUUUUAGGUUUUUGAGGAUCCUCCAUGCUAUUUUCCACAACGGCUAUACUAGUGUACAAUACUACCAACAGGGUCCUUUCUCUGCACAUUCUCACCAACACUCACAAUCUUUUAUCUAUUUUUACAUGUGUUGGGGGGGGGAGAGAGAGAGAGAGAGAGAGGGAGAAAGAAAGAAAGAAAGAAAGAAAGAAAGAAAGAAAGAAAGAUUAUUAGACCUGGAGGCUCAUAUAUGAUUUUCUUUUUUAAAUUUAUUGUAAUUUUAACAUAUUAAUUGUAUGAAUCGAUUGGAUUCGCUGUGAUAUUUCCAUUCUUGCAUAUAUAAUGCAUUUUAUACAUCCUCCUUACUCUUCUCUCUUUCCUUUUUCCCCUCUCCCCAAUUCCCUCCCCACUAGUUCCUCUUCUACUUUCAGGUCAUCUUUUUUUUUCUUUAAGUUUAUACAUAUGAGAAAAAGCAUACUAUACUUGUCUUUCUGUGUCUAGCUUAUUUUGCGUAACAUAUCUUCCAGUGCCAUCCAUUUUCCUCCAAAUGAUAGGAUUUCAUUCAUCUUUAUGAUUGAGUGAUAUUCCAUUUUAAAAAAUCCAUUCAUCCAUUGAUGGGCAUCUAGGCUGAUUUCAUAUCUUGGCUAUUGUGACUAGUUCCACAGUAAACAUGGAUAUGCAGGUAUAUCAUUUGUGUGCUGACUUUACUUCCUUCAGAUAUAAAUCCAGGAGUGGGAUAGCUGGAUCAUAUGGCAGUUCUAUUUUUAUUUUUUUGCGGAACCUUUAUACUAUUUUCCUAGUGGCUGUACAAAUUUACAUUUAUACCAACAGUGUGUAAGGGUUCCUUUUCCUCCACAUCCUUGCCAUCAUCUUUUCUUUCUUUCUUUCUCUUUCUUUCUUUCUUUCUUUCUCUUUCUUUCUUUCUUUCUUUCUUUCUUUCUUUCUUUCUUUCUCUCUCUCUCUUUCUUUCUUUACUGGGGACUGAACUCAGGGACACUUUACUACUGAGCUACAUCUCCAGCCCUUUUAACUUUUUAAUUUUGAGACAGUACCUUGCUAAAUCAUUGAAGCUGGCCUUGAGCUUGUAAUCCUCCUGCCUCAGCCUCCUGAGUUGCUGAAAUCACAGGCAUGUGUCACCACACCUGGCUAUUUUUUUAAUGAUAGGCAUCCUAAUUGGAGUGAGAUGGAAUCUCAUUGUAGUUUUUAUGUGCGUUUCUCAGAUGGCUGUAGAUGUUGAGCAUUUUUAAAUAUAUUUAUUGACCAUUUUAUUUCUUGUUUGAGAAGUGUCUAUUCAUAUCAUUCACCCAUUUUAACAUUGGAUUGAUUGUGUAUGUUCAAUUUUUUGAGUUCUUUAUACAUUCUGGAUAUGAAUCCUCUGUUGGGUAGACAACUGGCAGAGAUUAUCUUCCAUUCUGUCAGUUACCUGUCCUCUCUGUUCAUUAUUUCUUUUGCUGUGCAGAAGUUUUUUAGUUUGAUGUAAUUCAUUUGUCAAUUCUUGCUUUUGGCAUCCUACUAGGAAAUCGUUGCCUGUGCCAAUAUCUUAAAUGUUUCCCCAGUGUUUUCUUCUAGUAGUUUCAGAGUUCCAGGUCUUACAUUAAAGUCUUUGAUCCAUUUUGAUUUAAUUUUUGUACAAGGUGAGACAGACAUAGGGUCAAGUUUCAAUUUUCUACAUGGUUAAAUCCAGAUUUCCCAGCAAUAUUUGUUGAAGAGGCUGUCCUUUUUCUAUUUCUGACAACUUUGUUUAAAUCAAUUGACUUAAAAUGUGUGCAUUUAUUUCUGAGUCCUCUAUUCUGUUCCAUUGGUCCAUGAGUCUGUUUUUCUGCCAAAAUAUGCUGGUUUUGUUACUAUGGCUCUAUAGUGUGUGUUGAAACCAGGUAUUGUGAUGCCGCCAGCAUUGCUCUUUUGCUCAAGAUUGCUUUGUCAUUUGGUUUUUUAAAUUUUUUAUUUGUUGUUGUUUCCCUGUGACUUUUAGGAUUUUUUUCAUAGUUUUGUGAAAAAAAAAAUGUCACUGGGUUUUUUGUUUGUUUGUUUUGUGGAACUGGAGGUUGAACACUUUCACUAAGUUACCUCCUCAGCUGUUUUAUUUCUUUAUUUUGAAACAGAGUCUCACUAAAUUACCCAGGCUGGUCUCAAACUUGCAGUCCUCUUGCCUUAGCCUUUCCAAUCAUUGGAAUCAUAGAUGUGCGUUAGCAUGACCAGCUGUCAUUCCUAUCUGGAUGGGACUGCAUUGACUGUAGAUUGCUUUGGGUAGUAUGGACAUUUUAACAAGAUUAGUUCUCCUAAUCCAUGAACAUGGAAGGCCUUUCCACCUUUUUGGUUCUUCUUCAAUUUAUUUCUUUAGUGUUUUGUAAUUUUCAUUGUAGAGGACUUUCACAUCCUUAGUUGGUUUUUUUUUCCUAGGUAUUUGUGUGUCUGUGUGGCUAUUGUGAAUGGGAUUACUUUCUUGAUUUUUUUUUUCUCAGUGAGUUCAUUAUUGGUGUACAGAAAAGCUACUGAUUUUGUAGGUUGAUUUUAUAUGCUUUUACUUUACUGAAUCUAUCAGUUCUAGUAGUCUUUUUAAAUUAUUUUAUUUGUUUUAAUUAGUUAUACAUGACAGUAGAAUGCAUUUAUGCACUUUGAAAUAUCAUACAUAGAUGGGAUAUAAUUGCUCGUUUUUCUGAGUGUACAUGUUGCAGAAUCAUUUUGGUCAUGUAGUCACAUAUAUACAUACAGUAAUCAUGUCUAUUUCAUUCUAUUAUCUUUCCUAUCCCCACAUCCCCUCCCCUCCCAUCACAUCCCUCUACCUAAUCUAAGGUAACACUAUUCUUCCCUAGUGCACCCCUGCCUUAUUGUGAAUUCGACCUUUGGUUUUGUGGGAUUGGCUUAUUUUGUUUAGCAUGAUAUUCUCCAACUCCAACCAUUUAUUGGCAAAUGCCAUAAUUUUACUCUUCUUUAAAGCUGAGUAAUAUUCCAUUGAGUAUAUACACCACAUUUUCUUUAUCUAUUCAUCUAUUGAGGGUAUCUUUAGGUUUUUCAAUAUAGAUUCAUAUACAGGGAUGAUUUGGCUUCCUUCUUGCCAGUUUGCCUUUUAAUUUAUUCAUUUGCAUGAUUGGCUCAAAUUUCUUGAAAAAGAGUGAUAAGAGUGGACACUCUUAUCUUGUUUCUGAUUUUACAGGAAAUGCUUUCAAUUUUCCUCAUUCAGUGUGGUGUUGACUCUGAGUUUAUCAUGUGUGAUCCUUCUGUACCUAGUUUAUUUGGGGCUUUUAUCAAGAAGGUAUGUUGAAUUUUAUCAAUUUUUUUCUGGAUUUAUUGAAUUGAUCAUGGGAUUUUCCCCCUUGAUUCUGUUUAUGUGCUGUAUUACUUUUAUUGAUUUGUGUAUUUUGAACCCUACUUGCAUUUCUGGAAUUAAUCCAACUUGAUCCUGGUAUAUGGUCUUCUGAUUUGCUGUUGAAUUCAAUUUGCUAGUAUUUUGAUGAGGAUUUUUAUUUCUUUGUUCAUCAGGGAUAUUGGCCAUUAGUUUUCUUUUUUAUUGUGGCUCUUUCAGGUUUUGGUAGCAGGGUAAGGCAGACUUUGUGGAAUGAUUUGGGGGAGUUUCCUUUCCUUGCAAUUUUAUAGAAUAAUGUGAUAAACAUUGGUGCUAGUUCUUUAUAAGUCUGGUGAAAUUCAACAGUGAAGUCACCUGGUCCUGGACUUUUCUUUGUUGGGAGACUUUUUUUUAUUGCUGAUUAAUUUCAUUAUUAAUUAUUGGUCUAUUUAGUUUUUUUAUAUCCUCUUACUUCAAUUUUGGUUGGUCAUAUGUGUCUAGAAAUUGGUUCAUUUCUUCCAGAUUUUUAAAUGUAUUAGCAUAUUUAGAAAUUUUCCUAAUGAUCUUUGCAUUCUGUGGUAUUAAUUGCAAUGUGUCCUUUUUCAUCUUUAACUUUAUUUGGGUCUUCUCUUUCUUUUCUUCAAUUUAUAUAAAGAUUUGUCAAUUUUGUUCAUCUCUUCAAGAACCAAUUGUUUCACUGGUCCUUUGUAUUGUUCUUUUAGUCUCUUAUUUCAUUUAUUUCUACUCUGAUCUUUAUUCUUUCCUUCUACUGAUUUGGGGUUUGGUUUUUCUUGUUAGUUUCUAAGAACUUGAAAUGUAUUAUUUAUUUGAGAUCUGUAUCUUUUCUUCUUUUUUUUUAUGUAGGCACUUAUUGCUAGGAAACUCUUUCUUAGCACGGCUUUUGCUGUAUCCUACAGAUUUUAAUACGUUGUGAUUCCAUUGUCAUUAUGAUUCAGGAUUUUUCUUUUUUGGCAGUACUGAGCCCAUGGCCUCUCACAGGCUAGGUAAAUGAUCAACCACUGAUCUACAUCCUCAACCUGUUUUACUGUAUUUUGAGACAGGGUCUUACUAAGUUGCCCAGGCUGGCCUUGAAUUUGAGAUCCUCCUUCUUCAUCCUUCUUUGUAUCUGGGAUUACAGGCAUGCACCAACAUGUCCAGCUAAUUCAAGGAAUUUAAAAAUUUCCCUUCUGACUUCUUCAAUGACCCACUGUUUGUUCAGAAGUAUGUUGUUCAAUCUUCAUGUGUUUGUAUAAUUUCUACAGUUUCUUUUGCUGUUGAUUUUCAGUUUCAUUCCAUUGUGAUCAGAAAAGAUGCAGAAUAUCAUCUCUGUUUUAAAUUUUUUAAGACUUACUUUGUAGCCUAAUAUAUGUCUAUUCUAGGAAAUAUUGCAUGCCGAUGAAAAAAGUGUGUAUUCUGCAUCUGUUAGGUGAAAUAUUCUGUAAAUGUCUGGUGAGUCCAUUUGCCUAUGGUGUAACUUAACUCAUAGUUCUUUGUUGAUUUCUUUGUCUGGAUGAUAUAUCUGUUCAGGAGCGUGGUAUUGAUAUCAUCCACUAUUAUUGUAUUGGGGCCUAUGUCUCACUUUAUGUCUAGUAGUGUUUGUUUUAUAUAUUGGGUGCUCUGAUAAAUAAAUCAGUAUAUAAAUUUAUAAUUGUUAUAUCUCUUGAUGGAUUGUUUCCUUGAUCAAUACAUAGUGACAACCUUUAUUUCUUCUAAUCUUGUCCAAAAGUCUGUUUUGUUGUAUAUAAGUAUUGCUACUUCUGCUUGCUUUGGGAUUUCAUUUGCUUGGAAUAUGAUUUUCCAUCCUUUUCUUUUCAGUCUGUGUGUGUCUUUACAGGUGAGGUAAGUUUCUUGUAGGCAGCAUAUUGUUGAGUCUUAUUUUUAAACUUACUCAGUGUCAUUUAAUGGGAUAAUUAAGACCACUUACAAUCAGAGUUAUUAACAAAACAUAUGGGAUUAUUGCUUCAUUUGUUGUUUUUCUUUUUUUAAAUAUUCUUUGUUUCCUCCUCUCUUAUUCAUAUCUGAAGUUUGAUAUUUUACUGUAUUGAUAAUGUUUGAUUUUUUUUAUUUCUCCUUUGUGUAUCUGCUUUUCUUUGGGGAUUUAUUCUUUCACAUGCUCUCAUAAUGGUAAUUAUCUCUCUUCCUCCUGGUGUCUCUUAAACAACUUUUGUAAUGCCUUCUACUGAUCAUGAACUCCCUUAAUUUGUGUUUGUCUUGGAUGCUCUUUAUUUUUUCUUUGAUUCUGUAGAAUAGCCUUGCUGGGUAUAGUAAUCUUAGCAGUUAUUUUCUUUCAGGGCAUCAUUCCAUGCCCUCCUGGCCUUUAAGGUUUAUGCUGAGAAAUCUGAUUUUUGUCUUAAAGUCUAUUUUUUUGUAUAUAAGUAUAGAUACUUCUGCUUUCUUUAGGAAAGAAAGAAAUAUGAUUUUUCCUUGCUUGAAAUAUGAUUUUUCCAUUCUUUUACUUUCAGACUGUAUAUGUUUUUACAGAUGAGGUGGUUCUGCCCUUAAAUGGGACUUGUCUCUUCUCUCUUAUAGAUAUUAAUAUUCUUUCUUUGUCCUGUACUUUUGGCAAUUUAACUAAGUUGUAUUAUGGAGAGGCUCUUUUCUGGUCAUGUCUCUUUGGGGUUCUAACUGCCUCCUGCGCCUGGAUAUCCAUAUCUUUCCUGAGAUAUGGACCUUUUCUGCUAUUAUUUCAUUUGAACAGGUUUUCUAUACUCUGAACCUGUAGUUCUUCUUCUUUAGGUAUACUAAUGAGCUAGAUGUUUGAUCAUUUAAUAGUGUUCCAGAGAUCUUUUGCAUUAUUUUCAUUCUUUCUUAUUUUUUUAAAUUUCUGUAUAAAUACAGUAUUUUGAACAAUUUAUCUUCAAGCUAUGAUAGUCUUUCUUCUACUCCAGCUAGUCUGUUGUUGAGGCUUUCAAUUGAGUUAUUUUUUUUUACACUUAGUGAGCUUUUUCAUUUCCAAGAUUUCUAUUUGAUUCUUUAUCAAAAUCUCUAUCUCUUUACUGAACUUUUCAUUUCUAUCUUGCAGUAUGUUUCUUAUUUCAUUAAACAGUGUGUGUUUCAGUCAGCAUUUGAGUCAUUGUGAUCAAAAGAUCUGACAAAAACAAGUUAGAGGAGGAAAAGUUUAUUUUGGUUCACAGUUUCAGGGGUUCAGUUCAUGGCUGGCUAAUUCUAUAGUUCUGGGCCUAGAUAAAGCAGAUUAGCAAAAGGGAAGAAGGAAAGCAGUUUAGGACAUGGCCACCAGGAAGCAGAGAGUUAGUUCUGCUCACCAGGGAAAAAAUAUAAACCCCAAAGCCCCUAGUGACCUACUUCCUCCAGCCACACCCUACCUGACUAUAGUCACUGCCCACUUAAUCCAUACCAGUUAAUUAAUCCAUUGAUUAGGUUAUACAUUUCAUGAUCUAAUCAUUUCACCUCUGAACAUUCUUGCAGUGUCUCACACAUGAGCUUUUGGGGGACACCUUAUAUUGAAGCCAUACAAUUUGUAUUCUCUUAUAAUUCAUUGUGUUUUUUUUAAAAAAUAAUUCUUUUCUAUUCUUUAUUUGGCAUUUCAUCCAUUUUGAUAUCUUUGAUAUUUAAGAGUUAUAAACUUUAGGAGGCAUCGUAUUUAUUUGUUCUUAAUCUUUCUUGGGUUUCUCUGUUGACAUUUGAGCAUCUGUUGGGAUGGAAAGCUCUUCCACUCUAAGGUGAUGGCUUACUUGGUAUGCAGCUUUUUCCUGAUGAUAUAUCUUGGGGGUACUACUGUUCUGAAAUGUUGAGUUUAUUUCAAACUGGAUGCCUGAGUGUGAACUCCCCAUAGCUUCUUUGAUUGUGAUUCAUGGGUUUGGGCACAGAUUGUACCAAAUUUUAAUUGGGGAAAUCUACUGUUUCUGCAGGUCUUACAAGAGUAGGGACAAUCUGGUAUUUAGGUAGGUGUGGUGGGGAUAGUAGCUGAGUAUGUGAGGUUUACCCUUUGUGGUUGCUUCUAUUAUAAGAAUGGUAGCCCCUAUCAGGUGAUGGGGCUUUUCAUGGGCAUGGUUUAUACUGGCUCUGUUACUUUCAAGCAGCAGUUUUAUUUUUAGCUUUUUUGCAGUGCUGGGGUUUGAACGCAGGGUGUCACACAUGUUAGGCAAGCACUCUGCCCCUGAGCCACAGCCACGGCCCACUUGAAAGCAAUUCUGAUUAUGGUAGCUCCAGUUGUGGUGAAAGGCUUGAUGUUCUUAUCCUCUGAUCGGACACUGGUGCAGGUUGAGGUGCUUCAUAGGAAGAAGUAGGGGCCAGAACCACAGCUCCCCUUCUGUGGUACUCUCCUCUAGAUUUGUGCGCAAUGUGAAAUCUGACAAGAUGCUGCUACAACCAAUGUAGAGAACCCACACAGGAGCCAUGUCAGCAACCAUUGUAGUUUUCCUCUCUGCUGCUACUGUGGGGAUGUUUGCCCAGGAAUGGGGCCUCAGAUCCCCCUAACUGUGCUCACCUGGGGAUUGAUGGACAUCUGAGAGGUGUACCAGGUGUACCCUAUUUCUUAAUAGAAGUAUCUGUCAGGGUUUAAAUAGGACUGGGUUGUGGCUGGAGUGGGCACAAUUCCUCUCAGGGGGCUGGAGGUGUAGCUUAGUGGCAGAGCACCCAGCCAAUGUGUGCAAAACCGUGGGUUUGAUACCCAAUGGUGAAGAAAGAAGAAAAGUAAAAAAAGAUUUCAAAAUAAAGAAAAAAAAAGUGUUGAGUCGGGUGCAGUGUCAUAUAUCUGUAAUACCAGCACAGGAGCAAUGCUCUGACUCAGGUGAUUGCAGGUUGGAGGCUAGCCUCAGUAAUGUAGCCAGACCCUGUGCCAAAGUGAAAAAUGAAAGGACUGGUGAUAUAGCUCAGUGGUAGAGCACCUCUGGGUUCAAUCCUGUAUCAUAGAUAAACAAAUAAAUAAAAAAUGAUAAACAGAUUUUAAUAAUGAAUGAGAACAAAAAAGAAAAAGGUAAAAGAUAAAAAGAAAAAAUUAAAUAAAACUAAAAAUAAAAAGAUAAAAAUGGGAAAAAUGGAAAGUAAUAGAAUCAAAAAUACACAAAUAAAAAUAGAAAGUAAAAAUGAAGAAAACAAAAAAAUUUUAAAAAGAAAAAAUAAUAAAAAUUUUAAGAAAAAGAAAAAUUAAAAAUAGAAUUAAAAAUUUAAAAAUAAUAAACUACAUAAAAUGACUCUUCCUAGCCGAGGUGCUCAGAACUCAAGUGAGUGCAGAAGAUCCUGGACUUUAACAAUCUAAGCUUAUCUCCAAGUCUUCUUUGGCUGUGCACCCCCAGGCAGGGAGCAGGGAGGCAGGCAGGAGUUUUUCCAUCCACCUCCACGUCCCACCCCCACCCCCACCCCACUGUUCUUCCAUCUGUGAUACCCCCCAGGCAUCAGUCAGGAGUGAGUUGUGGCUAUAUUAAUUGAAAUACUGUUCAGCUGCAUUUCCAGCCUGAAUAAGCAGUCAGAUCCAGCCACAUUCUCUCUGGACCCUCCCCUCCCCUCCCCUUCUCUCCCCUCCCCUUUUCUCUUUUCUGUUUCCCUUCUAACCCAGGGCCUCAUGCAUAGUAGGCAAGCACUCAAUCACUGAGCUGCAUCCCCACCAUUUUUUAUUUGAGACUGGUUCUCACUAAGUCACUGAGGAUGACCUUGAAUUUGCAAUCCUCCUACCUCAGCCUCCGUAAUUGCAGGGAUUACAGGCGUGUGCCACUGUGCCUGGCUUCUCUGGAGCUUCUUAAGCUGUACACUAUAGUGUGGGGUGAAGGCCACAGCAGGAGAGGAUCCUUGAAUGUCUCUGAAAAUUGGUCGCCAUUGACCACAAAGACCUGUGCUGGGAGCCUGUGUUGGGAACCACGGGAUCUUUAUCCUGGAUCCUGACCUUAGCAGACCUGGGCCCCUUAUAAAACCACAUGAACUGCUCUUCUCUGGGUCUCAGAGGGAAAGCUCAUCAAUCUGCAGAUUCCAAAUGUCAGUGUCUUCUGCUCCCCUUCAUGUUGUGGUCCAUGAUUCUUGUAACACAGAACUCCCAGUGGGCCUGUGUCAAUCACUCACCGAGCCAGGACUGCCUUGAGGCCACUGUUCAGGCCACGGAGCAGACUUGUUAGGUAGGAAUUCAGGGACACCAAGAUGGUGGGGACAGGAUAUUAAAAAGAAGCUGCUAGAAGACAAGGAGACAGUCCUGUCCCUGUUUACAAUAAAUCCCAUUACUAUGACAACUCCCACCACUGACGACUUAUCACCAUGACAACUCCCGCCACAGGUUCAAAUUUUAAAAAGACCAUGGAAGUAAAGUAGGUAGUAUUCUAAUUAGGUUUUCUAAAGUAACCAGUGGGGGUGGGGAUUGGAAAAUAUUCUAAUCGGGUAUCAUAAGAUAACAAAUGGGAGAAAAUGGGUAAGGUCUUUAAUUGGGUUUGUAUAGGAAAGAGAAAGCCCCACAGUUCAGGAUGUGAGACCUUAAUUUCUAGACAUUGGGGCCUUGAGCCUGCCGCCCCCUCCCCACCCUCAGCCCACUUCCUUCUUCCUAUUUGCACCUUCAAUAAAUCAGUUCUCUGUUACUUCUGUGUGUCUUACUCAAUUCUUUGUUCGGGACACCAAGGACCUGGGCUUCGACUGGACAUCCCAAUGGUAACAGAGUCUUCAUAGAUCCCAGAGAUGGACAUAUGCCAAGGUUUCUGACCUCCAGAGCAGUACAGACUCUGAUAAUGGGGACUCUUCUCUGGAUGGCUCCCAGCUACAGCACUCUGAGGGAAUGCUGGGAGAUGCUGCGGAUUUCUUCUCCUAGUUUAGACUUUGAUGCAGAUUCCAAGUCUCUCACUUAUUUAGGCUGUGUCUGUAAUGGGCAAGCAUCUGAGCCAAUGCCAAGACUCUCUCUGUCUUUCAUCAUAUUUACCUCCUCUCCCUGGUGCCAGAUGACAAGUGCUUGGCACUUUAUUUCUCUGGCUGUGCUAAUAUGCGUCUGAAAUAUUUCCAGGUCAUCUUCUCUUUGCUUUUGAAUUCCAGUGUACAUCCACAGCCACUCAUCUCCACAUACAGCUACAUACCUGUUGCUUUGUUUCAAUAUGGUGGGGAAACAGGUGAGCAUUGUGGGCCUCUAUUCCACCAACUUGCUCCACUGAGAAAUGGAUGCUUGUGAAAUAGAUCUAUACAGGGCUCUAUCUAAGAUUUCUCUCUCUCUCUCUCUCUCUUUUUUUUAGCUGAGAGAAUAGUUCACACAGCAGAAAGCUGUGGGCUUACCUAUUUGCAAUCUGGCUCCAAAGCUUUAUUUAUUUUUGGCACUUUAUUUCUCUGGCUGUGCUAAUAUGCGUCUGAAAUAUUUCCAGAGCAUAAAAUCUGAAAUAUUUCCAGAGCAUAAAAUCAACAGAAGAGUUUGACAUUCUUUGCAAUUCUGGAUCUGGAAGUCCAAGAGGAAGGUGUCAGCAAGACAUUAACAUUCUUCUAAGAGCUUUCUUCUUAUCUUGUAAACAACCAUCUUUCUCCCUGUGUCUUUACAUGGUCUUCUUUCUUUGAAUCUUACAUGGCAUUUUGACACAGGGUAAUAAACUUUGGAGUAUUGACUAGACACUAGCAAUGUUAUUGAACAAGGACUCACUGCCUGCCAUGCAUAGAAGCCAGUGCUAUGGUACUGGGUUUUUGCAAAAAGAAAAGAGGCUUAUUAUUGCAUGUCUAAUUGGCAAGAAGGCCCUUGGUAGGUUGGUGGUGGGGGGAAUUUAUGGAAGGGAGAGGGGAGAAGUUGCUUGUUGACUAGACUGCAUGCCUCUUCCCAGGCCUUGUAUUUCUUUGCAGGGGUAGGGGUUAGGUUAUGUUCUGUGCAGGGAAUGUUGAGCUUAUGACAUCAUUGACUGAUGACCUGGCUUCUUUUGCUCAUAUCAGAUCUUGAAAAGCCAGUUCGUGAAAGGCCGGGAGGCUUUUCCUGGACAAACAACUUAAGGAAUUUAUGUACAGGUGUGUCUAGGCCUUAACCAAUUUCAAGAGGAGGGCUGCCUCUUAUUGUCUUCAGCCCCAAAUAAUCCGUAACCCAGAGUGGUGUAAAUUUAGGUGUUAUGUUCUGAUCCCUUUCAUUUAUACAUUCCGUACUUCCUUCUUUUUCCUCCUCCUCAUAUUUGCCUCUGUUUGAACCAAGUAUUGAGUAAGGGAGAGCAAUAAAUGGCUAACCGUUUAUUUAACCAGUUGGUUCUUUCUAUUUUCUCAUUCCCAUAAUUAAUUUCUAGUUUUAUUACAUUCUGAUUAGAAAAUGGCAUUUCUAUUUCUUCCAGAAUUUAUUGAAGUAUUUUUUAUGACCUAAUUACUUUAGGGUCAAUUAAUUUUGAAAAAUUUCUAUACAUGAAAAUAAACUUUUAGUUUUCCAAUUAUAAAUUUGAUAUAUGUAAAGCAACUCUAUUUUAAAAAUUAUGCUAUUUAGGUUUGCCUUAGGACCAUGGCCUAAAAAGGUGGUAGAUUAAUCUCCCCUACUAUUGUGUUUCUAUUUCUCUUUGUAUUUCACAUAGUUUUUGUUUGUUAAUAUAUGUUGUUGCAUAGACAUUAACAAGAUAUUCGGAUUAUUUUUGUGAAUUUCACAGUCAUAUAAUUAAAGAACCCUUGUCUCAUUUAAUGACUUUUGGCCAGAAUUCACCUGUCUAGUAUUUUUGUAUUUUUUGGUCCUAGGGAUUGAACCCAGGGGUGUCCUGUCACUGAGUUACACCCUUUUUUAGUUUUUUAUUUGAGACAGGUCUCACUAAGUUGCCAAGGCUUGACCUCAAACUUGUGAUGCUUUUGCCUCAGCCUCCUGAGUGGCUUGGAUUACAGGUAUGAACCACCACACCCAAAUUUCAACCUUUCUUAACCAUUUGGAUUUAUCAUUAGAUUUUACUUUGUGAUAUGAGACUUGGCAGAUUUAGAAGAUGAUUGUGACCUACUAUUUGAUAUGACAGUUAUGUUUUGGUUCAUUGCCUUUGUUUUAUUAUUGUUUUUGACUUUUUAGUGAUGAUUUGAAAGGUUUGUGUUUUUGUUCUAGUUGCCUUCAUGGCAAAACAUUUAAAACUGCUAAAAAAAACGUUUUUCAGUAGGGUACAAUGGCACAUGCCUGUAACCUCAAUGACUCUGGAUGCUGAGGCAGGAUCACAAGUUUGAGGCCACCCUCAGAAACUUAAUGAGACCCUAUCAUAACACACACACACACACACACACACACACACACACAUAUAUAUAUAUAUAUAUAUAUAUAUAUAUAUAUAAUGUAGCUCAGUGGUAAAGUGCCCCUGGGUUCAAUCCCUAGCAUACACGCACACACACACACACGCAUACACAAACACACAAACACGGAUAUAUAUUCAUAUAUAUCCCCCACUCCCCAAAAUUGUAAAGAUAGGACUCUAAUACAAGAAUGAAUGUGUGUUAAAGAUUUUAUUUUGCUCCUUAAACAAAAAGGAAACCAGACUGGAAUUAUAACUGGUUGAAAGAAAAAAAACAAAACAAAGGAACACAAAUAUGACCGGAAUAAACGGAUUGAAUACAAAUAAGGCAAACUGUUUUUCUGCAAGGGGAAAAGAAGUCAAAGGAGACUCUAACAGAUACUACCUUUCUAUCAGUUACCUUCAGUUUACAAAGAGUUUCAAAAUAGUCCAAAGACAAUGAACAGGGCCAGAAUCGAAUUGGUUGGAGGACUGUUUUAUAGACAAUGUGUAUUUUUUCAUGCAAGUACAGAAUUUCUUUCUAUAGUCUUUUUUUUCUUUCCUUCCUUCUCUCUUCCUCUCUCUCUUUCUUUUUUGUGGUAAUGAGGAUUGAACCCAGGGCCUCACACAUACUAGGGAAAUGCUCUACUGUUGAGCUACAUCCAAGCCUCUUCUUUCUAUAGGGUUAAUUAAGGAAUAAAUAUUGAUAGCAAUACACUAAUCCUCUAUUUCUUUAGACAUAGCAUACAGUUUUCUCUAUGGGGUGAGUAUCUCAUCUCAAUUUCCCUGGGACUUUCCUAUCUUCAGCCUUGAAAGUCCUGGGAAACCCCUUAAUCCCCAGAGAACCAAGACAAUUGGUCACCCUAAUUUUCUACUAUAAGCAAUGAUGGAAUUAUUACAAUCCCUCCUCUUUCUACUUCCUUUCUAAGAAAGCUCUGUUUUAGCAGUGGUAUGUAACUUUGGGUGAACCUGAAAAAGCUUUUUUAAAAAAAAAUCUCUGAUGUGUGGGGCUCACCCUUAGAGAUUCUAUAUUAUUUGGAUCUAACUAACUUAGAUUGGAUUAGUUAGAUCUAACUAACUAAUGGCUUGAGUAUUCAGGAUUUUUCAAAGUUACUUAGGAACUUUUCUUCCUCCAGUGCUGGGGAUUGAACCCAGGGCCUCCUGCAGGCUAGGCAAGCUCUCUACCAUUGAACUACAUCACCAGCCCAAUGCAGGUGAUUCUUAAGUUAUUGAAGGUUGAGGCUGAACCACCUGCAUAUAUAGACAUUGAACUAUCUUCAAGAUGUGUUGAGUACAGCAUUGUAUGCCAUCACUAUAUAAAAAGUGGAAAAGAAAAUAUUUAUAGAUUUGCUUGUAGGCCCAUAAAUUAUCUCUGGAAGGGCAUAGAAAGAACUGCCAGGAAUGUGAAUUGGUAGUGAAAUGGGAGGGAAAGUUUGUGAAUUCUUCUGACUUUGUCAGUCUAUUAUCUAUUUUUUUUAAAGUUGUUUUAAAAUUCUGUCUCUUCACCCAGCAUGGUGGCCCUCACCUGUAAUCCCAGUUACUUAGGGAGGCUGAGGCAGAAGAAUUGCAAGUUUGAUACCAUUCUCCACAAUCCAGUGAGACCCUGUCUCAAAGAAAGAGAGAAAGAAAGAAAAGAGGUGGGGACAUAGUGCCCUCGGGUUCAAUCUGCAGUACCACAAAAACAAACCACACUACAGAAAAAAAAAUAUUUUUUUCUCUUUAAUCUAGAGAAACAUUUUGCAUCUUUAAAAGUAAGUAGAUAAUUGAAUAGAUAGUAUGAUUAUUUUUAUUUUUUUCAAGCACCCAAACUGCACAUGGUAAAAAAAAAAAAAAAAAGAUGUAACUCUGCAUUGAAAACAUUUUCUAAGGAAGGAAAUUACACACACACACACACGAUCUUCAGUGAUAGAACUCUGGCUUUUAUUUCUUAGUUCCUUUAAAAAAAUAUAAACCAUAUUUAUUUUUUGUACAAUAAAACAAAAUAGGAAGAAACCUAAGAAUCCUGGCUUUGUCUAGAAGCAAGAAUUUGUCUAAUGGUUCUAUUGGAAGAAGUCAGCUUUGACAAGCUGCUGUGGCAGGCUUUGCUCUCUGGCUUCCUUCCUGUGCCAUGUGGGGGUCCUCUCUUUUUGCUCAAGAGGAAGCCCAACCACUGAGACUUCAACAUCAGCCGAGCUGCCUCAUGAGAGGCCUUGUGGGGAGGGCGCUACCCUGGGCACUGGGCACUGCCAGUGGAUGUCACACAACUCUGCUGACUGCUGACCACAUAAUGGAGACCACUGUGCUAGGCUAUGUUGGAGGCAAAAGACCAGCAGACAGGACCCUGGCACGAGGUCCUCCCUGCCCAUGAGGUCCUUCCUGCCCACAAGGUCCUCCCUGUGUGAGGUGACAGCCAGGACAUAUGCAUUGAAUAGGCCUGUCCCUAACAUUGGUAUUGGUGGAUGGAAGCCCACAUAUCACAUCUUUAAAUACUUGAAAGCUAUAAGUCAAGCUAAUAAACUGUUGACUAAAAUAUUAUCUAUUUUCCUCCCUUAAUAAAUACAAUUUCAUAAUGACUUGGGAAAUCCAGGUUUGAAUCUAGAACUUUCUCUGAGUACUUGGAGUUCUCUGUUGGUUAUGACUGGCAGGCAGCUUCCAAGAUGAACCCUAGUGAUUUGCAUCUCCUGAUAUUUACACCUAUGUGAUCCCUUCUCUUAAGGGUAGGCAGGAUCCAUGAAUUGCUUCUAAUCAAUGCAUGUGGCAAAGUUAAUAGAAGGUCAUUUUCCUGAUUAGGUUACCUAAGAUAGUAAUUCCUCUUUUCUAGCAGACUCUCUCUCUUCCUGGCUCCCACGAGAAAGUUGCAAUGUUGGAGAUACAUUGGCUUCAGAAGGUUGAAUGUGCACCAGAGGCCGCAGGCUUGGCACACUUGAAGUGUGUUGGGAUCGUGUUGGAUCAGGCCAGAGAGCUGCCUGGGUGCAGUGAGCAAGCAGAGCACACCUGAGGGAAUGUUCAAAGGGAGCUGUGGGUUGAGUGGAACCAACCCACAGGAGGGUUUGAUGCAGCAGUCAGAGCCUUGCCCUGCACUUCCCACAAUGGUGUUCUUUGAUGGGGGUUGAGGAGCUGGUGAAGCGGAGUCAUCAGUUCAGAUCCCGCCUGGAGUGUGCUGGUUCCAUGACUCUAGUCACAUUAUCUAAACUCCCUGUUUUCUUAUCUGUAAAAUCUGGAUUAUUACCUGUCACAUAGGAUUGUGGAAAGGAUCAGUGCAUAAAAAAUGCCUGGUAAAUUCUUAUUAGUUAUUAUUAAGGAAACUGGGGCUCAGGACAGAUGAAAGAUGAUCUUUUGUUCUCCAGUGCUAUUUGCCUUCCCUCAUGGGUCAGAGGGAGAAGUGGGAAAGGGGUCUUUGAGUUGCUAGGAUGCUCAUUUGCUCCUCACACUAUGAAAAUGUUUGGAACAAGGUUGUGACUCAUGCCACCCUUCCUCAAAGUCCCUGAGAGCUGUGGUGGUGCUGCAGGAGGUGUGGGGGUGCUGGCCAAGGGAGACCUGGUGGUGCGUGCUGCGCUAAGAAGGGGAGUGCCACUGGGUUGGCACCUCCAUCUGGGCUUCUGUUGCCUCAUCUGGGAAAUGAAAGGGUUGCCAGUGGCCCUGGGAGUGUGGGUCAGAAGUCACAGCCUCGGCACAGCUAGGGUGCAAACUCUCCGGCCUCCCACACCUCCUGAGUCAGAGCUGUGGGACUGGGCUUUGAGAAUCGCCAUUUCUAACACUCUCCAGGUGGUGUUUUUGCUUGCCCUAGUUGAGCAACAUUAGGAUCGCUGGUCCCAACUAGGGCAACACCACUUUACCAGGCCCCUGUGGGGUUCUGAUGGAGCAAUGUCACCCCCACCCCAUCCAUUGUGUUUAGAAAAUACUGGGCUGGCGAAGGGGGAGCAGAGCCUGCUUUACAACUUGUGGGUCCCAUUGCAAAAUGAAAAUGCAGGGCCCACAUUCAAAAAGCAGGAGAAAAGCAUUUCCUUUCUUCUCUGGUCUCCCUCUUGACCUGUCACGUGUGCUUUAAUUUGCUACUUGAUAUCACUCCUAGUUGAGGCACAGAGAUGUGGGCAAGGUGAAUACAGAACCUUGCAGGCUCUGGCACCUUCCCUGUGUCUGCACCAAGGCCCUGCCCAGGGCCCUGCAUCUCUCAGGGAGACCUUUGAGCUCUGGCUGGAGCAAAAGUGGUUGCUGCAGGAGAAGGCAGUGUGGCUGGCACACACAGGUACUCAGGUGAUUAAUGACUGCAUUUCCCCCGUCUUGGCCUUGGGCUGCACCUGAGCUGUGGUGGAUGCAGCCCUACGUUUUUGUGUAAUCUCUUUUGACAACUGGGGGAAGGGGGACAAACCCACAAGACUAACCCAAUUACAGUGACACAGAGCUCUGGCUGCUCCCUGUUGACAAGGUGAACACAAGGGCAUCCCAAUUCAGGACCAGCACAGAAAGUACUUUCCUACUCCAAUGUCCUGAGAUAUUUUUGCCUUAUGACAAACGGUGGCUGUCACCCUUGGGCUAUGUCAAUUAAGGUAACAUGAAAAGAACUAGAUGGAUUGGGCUCCCAACUAUCCCAUAACUGGGCCUGUGAUACUUCAGCCCUGGAAGAGAUGUGCAGUGUUAGGAGCCCUAAUAACAGAAUCAGAAAGCUGGGGUCUUUGAUUAUUUUGCUAAGGGGACUUGGGUAGAGCACCCAGCCUCCCUGGACAUCAGUAUUCUCUUCUAUAACAUAAGAGUAUCAAAUCACAUUAUCCCUGAGCAACUCUUCUCCCUAUUUAAUACUCCAUGAGGUUAAGGACUUAAAAGCCAAGCCUAGACUGUUAAUUUUGAAGGAAGAGCAGUAAGAACACAGUAAGAACAGAGGGUAUAUAAACGGAAAAGUGGGUUGGGAUUACAUUGUGAAGGCCAAAAUGUCCACUUAGAGUUCAGUGUUCUUUCUAGGCAGCAGGGAACCAUGGAAAACAUCUAAAAGAGAGGGUUUGUGUUCAGAGCUGAACUUUAGAAAGAUGAAGGAAAUCAUGUUUCAGAAAAAUUGAGGGCAGAGUAGGAACCAGUUAAGUGGCUACAUGUACCCCAUUUACCCUUAUUGGGCAGGGCCAGGCUCUCCUCCUAACAGGCUGUUCUGACUCAGCACCCAGCUGCCGGCAGAGAGAUUUCUUGUUUCUCAUGACACUUGACAUUAUCAGACUUCUACAUUUUUGCCAAUCAGAUGGGUAGGAACAGGCAUUUCAUUUUAAUUUUAACUAUAUUUCCCUGGUUAGUAGUGCAGCUAAUUUUUUUUUCUUUUCCAUAAAUUUCCUGUUUAUUCUUUUGUCCAGUUUUCCUUAUUUAUUUAUUUAUUUAGGUGCAGGGAUUGAACCCAGGGUAAGAUAAGUGCUCUACCACUGAGCUACACCCCCAGACCCCCCCCCCCACUUUAAAAAAUUAUCCUAUAUGUUCUGGAUACUCACCUUUUUAAAAAAAAAUUUAAAGUUGUAGAUGGACACAAUACCUUUAUUUCAUUUUAUUUAUUUAUUUUUGGGUACAGGGGAUUGAACUCAGGGGCACUCAACCACUGAGCCACAUCCCCAGGUUAAGGAUUUUAUUUAGAGACAGGGUCUCACUGAGUUGCUUGGUGCCUCACUUUUGCUGAGACUGGCUUUGAACUCUCUAUCCUCCUGCCUCAGCCUCUCUAACUGCUGGGAUUGAUUAUAGGCAUGCGCAACACAUCCAGUGUAUUUAUUUAUUUUUAUGUGGUGCUGAGGAUCUAACCCAAUCAAUGCCUCACAGGUGCUAGGCAAGUGCUCUACCACUAAGCUACAACUCACCUCUUGUGCUUAUAGGCAAUGCAAAUUUUUUUUUCCAGUUUAUACUUUGUCUUUUAACUUUGGUUAUUAUGGUGGCUUUACAAAGGUAAUCACAGACAACCAUAACAUAGUUUAUUAACGUUUAAAUUUGUGGCUUUAUUUUUGGUGUCUGAAAAAAAUCUCUACUCUCAAAUCAUAAAGCUAUUUUUCUAUAUUUUCCAAAAAGUUUUCAUGUUUUCUUCUUACUUUUAAGUUUUAGAUCCACAUUGAAUUUAUUUUUGUGUCUGGCAUAAGGAUCUAGUUUUAUCUUUUUCUACAUGGGCAUCCAAUUGUCCCAGCACUGUAUAUUGAGCUGUUUAUGUCUCAGCUCUGUUGCCCAGGACCAAGACAAGGAUGAGGCAAGCACAGCACCCAUUGGCAGGGUCACGAAAGUUCAUGGUUAACAGCUAAGGGUGGGCACCUUCUUCAAUUUUGCCUCACCCUAUCACAGGACUGCUUUUGUUCUCUCCUUCUGGGAAGGGUCCUCUUGCAACAAACAGUCCCCAACACAUAGGAGACUUGGGUUCUCCUGCCCAGGAAUGUGGGUUCUGGAUGCAGAGAAGGAGGAGUAUAAACCUUGGAAACUCCCACUGGCUAUGGAAGGAGGAAAGAUGGGAUGGUCAGAGUGAAGCCUCUGGGAUUGGAGAGACUGGGACCUUAUGUCUCAGAGAUGCUGUUAGAAGUUUCAUAGUUUUCUGAGGCUCUGGGGGACAGAAGGCUGGUGCACACAGGACCUCUCCCCUCCGUGGUUGUGAGUGGAGUCUGCAGCCUCUGUACUUGUGGGUUCUGUCCCCUGUGUUCCUUGUAGAAUAUGGGAAAUGCUUGGGGGCACCCCAGAAUGUUUCAGCUACUCACAGACAUGGAAUCAGAUAAUAGUAAAAGUAAAGGAAUUUUUCCUUCUAAUUUUCUUUUAAUAGCAUCUAUAACACCGCCCCCACCCCCCCACCCGACACCAACAGUUGCUAACCCCCUCUCUAUUAACCCUUAGGGACUGGCCUCAGGCUUUGGAGCCUUGGAGGGCUCUGGAGUCUUUCUAGAUAUUUAAUCACCUUGUUUUUUCAUUGUGUUUUAGGGUGUUACCUAUCAUUCUGGUGACUGAGUUUGAUAUUAAUGAUGCUAAUAGAGCAUUUACUUUUGAAUUUAUUUGAACAAAAAAGUUUGCCUUGUGUACAUAAAAAUCAUAUUGUAUGUGCAUUUGGAUAAAGAGAUAGAAAUCGAGAGUCACCAAUGUGUUCGUGGUAAUAGGAUUUCAGAUGAUUUUUGUCUUCCUUAUAUUUUUAAGUUGCUUGCCCUUUUUACAACAAGCAUAUAUUAGUUAUAUAACCAGAAAAUAACUGUUUUUGCUCUGGAGAAAGAUAUACAUGUUUAAAGGAACUUAUUAAGUGAAUAAUACAAGGAUAUAUUUAUCAGCAAGUUGACUGAGGUUAGGAACUUGAACUCAGAAUGGUGGCUUAGCCAACUCUGAGGAAGGGGCCUGAGCAGAAGACAGGGAGAGGUUGUGGGGAGCAGGGAGGGGCCAGGUGAACCCCAACUGACAUCAGGGAAGCCUGAGGAAGCCUGGCUUCCUGUCAUAGGAAGUUCUGGCAGCCACCACCCAGAGGCUGGGCUUUGUUUUUUCAAUGUUAUGCAGAGGAUUCUAUUUCAGAGUCUCAGCUGUGACUUUUUAAUCAAGUAACCUAUUAUUUGGUGAGCUCAGGGCUGAGUUUCUGUAGUGCGUUCACCUUUAUUUGCACUUAGACAUCCCAGGUUGGGUGGAGAAGAGGGAACUGGGGGUGUAGCUCAGUGGUAGAACAUAUUUGCCUAGUAUGUGCAAGGCCUUGGGUUUAGUCCCCAACACUGCAAAAAAACAAAGCAAGAGGGAACCUUGCCAGGGUCUAGAUGUCUCUGGUUUGGAAGCACUGGGUGAAGUCUGUUGCACCCGAGCUGACAGGUGACAGCCCCGCCCCUUGCCCCACUGGGCUGUCCCUUCCAUUCCCAGAGCCCUGGCAGCUGGUUCCAAGCUCAGAGUGCUGACCCCUUCCUUGGGAGGGCAUAAUUUGAUAGGCGCCUGAGUGCAACAAAUUCCUGAUGUGUAGUCUUAGGAAUCCUGGGCUCACUGGACUCUUUUUCAGAUCACACCCCAAGUUACUGUUUAAACUUUAAUGCGGCCAACACAGUCCAAACACAACAGGGAGUAGAAGUUACUUGCUUUCCUUUGGGACUAUCUGGCUUCAUGCUCUGAUUCCUAUUUUGGGUGUUGGAUGUGGGACGUGAUGGGCUGGGUGACAGUAGUCUGAGUAGUCCGAUGGUCAUGAGACAAUGCAGACCCAGUAGCUGCCACUCACGGGCACUGUGAGAGGAUGAGAUAUCUGUGGUCCCUGCCCUCCUGGAGGUGGCAUUGUAUGGAGAAAGCAGCUGUGAAGGGGGGCUUGGUAGAAGGGUGGGGUAGGGGCUGCUGCAGCCCAUAGUAACCAGCUUUAAAGAAAGGGACAGGGAAGGGACCCUGAGUAGGAGACAUUUGACUGAGACAUAAAGAGUUUGCCAGAUGACAAGAGAUCGGGAGGGCAGUCCUGGAGAGGAAUUGUACACAGAAGUCUUGAGGCUGGAGGGGCUAUAUUCAGCUGAGCUGUCCCUCAGGUGGCUAAACAAGAGACUCCAGGGUGGGAAAAUAGGCCAGAUCCUGUAGGACUUCCCAGAACAGGCUUCCUGUCCUCCGGAGACUUUUGGCAAGGUUGUCACAAGUGUGUGUUGGGGGUUUGGGCAGGGGAGGGUGCUUCGGGGAUGCUGCUAAACAUCCUGCAAAGUGCAGAACAGCCCCUGUCAAUAAAGAAUGAUUCCGAUAAAGAAUUCAAUAGGACGGGCCCAGUGUGGUGGCACACGCCUAUAAUCCCAGUGACUCAGGAGGCUGAGGCAAGAGGAUCAUGAGUUCAAAAUCAGCCUCAGCAAAAGCAAGGUGCUAAGCAACUCAGUGAGAACCUGUCUCUAAAUAAAAUACAAAAUAGGGCUGAGGAUAUGGCUCAGUGGUUGAGUGGCCCUGAGUUCAAUCCCUGGUACCACAAAAAAAAAAAAAAAAAAAAAAAAGAGAGAGAGAGAGAGAGAAAGAGAGAGAAUUAAUAGGACAGAGGCUGGGAAACUUUCUAGAGCCACACUAAGGACUUUGUUCCUUAUUCUGAAGCCCAGGGGGAGUCAUGAAGGGGUUUUACCCAGGAGAGCGAUGUGACCAGAUUUAUGUGUUAAAAUUGAUCCAGCUGCUCAGAAGAAAUUUCAAGACCUAACUGUUCGGGUAGUUUUUGAGACCCACCUGCUCUUUCCAGCUGUGGAGUUUCCAGUCUCUGCUGUUAUUCUGGGGUUCGCCUUUUGGCUACUUUCUGGUCAUCUGGGUCUCUAUCAGGCAGGGACACCACCAACUCAGAUAUUUAAGAGUUACACAGGAUAGGGGCUUUUCCCAGAGCCACAAGAGCACCGCACUGGGGCAUACCAAAAUAUUUCAGGCAUCUGUGAUGGGCAGCCAAAUGCCCCACGGAGCUGUUUACAUCCUAAUGCCUCACUCGGCAAAGGGAUUUUUCAAAUGUGAUUAGUUAAGGAUCUUGAGAAGUGAGAAGAUUACCCUGGAUUAUGUUGGUGAACCCACCGCAAUCAAAAGGAUUCUUAUAAAAGGAAGACAGGCAGCGCUGAUCAGGGGAAAUGUGAUGACAGAAACCGGAUAGAGAGACAGAUUUGAAGAUGGUGUGGUGUUGGUUUUGAAGAUGAAGGAGGGGACCAGAACUACAAGAUAAUAAUCUCUUUUGUACCACUAUCUUUUUGAUAAUUUGCUAUAUGUCUACAAGAAAUUAAUACAACCUGGAAAAUUUUUUUUUAAAUUAACUGACAGGAAAACUGAAAACUAGAAACUAACAUGUUAUCUAUUUUUAAAUUUGUUUUUAUCAUAUUUAAUAAAUAUAAAAGGUAUAAGGACAGAUACAAUGCACAACUGGUCAUCAUUUCCAAACUCAAGAAAUAAAGCAUUUCUAAUAUAGCUCAAGCCCCUUGCAAACCCAACUCUGGUUUCAUUUCCCUCUCUGCUUUGUAGAGCUAAUCAAUAUCCUAAUUUUGGUAUUCUUUUUAUUCCCAUGAGUUUUUUUGGAGGGAUAGUACUAGGUUUCUUUUUUUUUUUUUUUUUGAGGAGGUACCCUGGAUUGAACCCAGGGACACUCAAACAUUGAGCCACAUCCCUAGCCCUAUUUUGUAUUAUAUUUAGAUACAGUGUCUCACUGAGUUGCUUAGUGCCUCACUGUUGCUGAGGCUGGCUUUGAACUUGUGAUCCUCCUACCUCAGCCUCCUGUGCCAUUGGAAUUACGGGUGUGCACCACCAUGCCCAGUUUGGGGAGUGAUACUAGGAAUUGAACCCUGGGUGCUGUACCACUGAGCUAUACCCCCAGUGCAUCUCCAUUUUUUUUCCUUAAUUUUUGAGACUGGGCCUUGCUAAAUUGCCCAGGCUCUUGUUGAAUUUGCAAUCUCCCCGCCUCAGCCUCCUGAAUCACUCGGAUUAUAGGCAUGUGCUUCCACACUUGGCUGCCAUACAUUUUUAUGCAUGUAUCCCCAACAAUAUGUCACACAGAUGUUCUUUGACUUACAAUGGGGUGACAUCCCAAUACCAGUUGAAAAUGCUGAAUAUUAUAGCUUAGCCUCACUUACCUUACAUAUGCUCAGAAGGCUUACCUUAGCCUGUAUGGUUGGGCAAAACCAACUAGCACAAAGUCUAUUUGAUAAGAAAUUGUUGAAUAUUUCAUAUCACUUAUUGAAAACUUGUGUCCAAAAAAUGUUAGCAACACAGUUCACCCUCGAGUCUCUGUUGCUCACUCUUGGGAUUGAAUGGCUGACAGGGCACUGUGACUCACAGUCACAGUGAGUUUUGAGGGGGUGUGGUGCCAUUUACCAUCAGCCUGGGGAAAGAUUCAUAUUCAAAAUUCAAAGAUUAGUUUCUACCAAAUGCAUACUGCUUUUGCACCCUUGUAAAGUUAAAAAAAAAUUCUUAGGUUGAGACUGUUUGUACUGCUUUGCAUGCUAUCUUAUAUGUUAGGCUUUUUGUGCCUAAUAUGGUGGAGAUUUUUGGAUUGGAAUUGACCUUAGGGGGCACUUUACCACUGAGCUAGACACCUGGACCUUAUUUUAUUUUUAAUUUUGAGACAGGGUCUCACUAAAUUGCUGAGGCUGGCCUUGAACUUCUGAUCCUGCUGCCUUAGCUUCCCAAAUUGUUGAGAUUAUAGGUGUGAGCCACCGUGGGUAGUGUCUGAUGUUUUGAGACUCAUUCUUUAAAAAAAAAUAUUUAUGUUUUAGUUGUAGUUGGGCACAAUACCUUUAUUUUAUUUAUUUAUUUUUAUGUGGUGCUGAGGAUCGAACCCAAAGCCUCACACAUGCUAGAUGAGUGCUCUACUGGUGAGCCACAACCCCAACCUGAGACUCAUUCUUAUUGAUGCCUGUGGAAUCUGUGUUACCCCAUUGUUAUGAAUAUGUCAUACUUUAUUCUGCCAGUGAACAUUUAGUUUAUUAUCAGUUUGGGGAUAUUACAAAUAAUAUGCCCAUGAGUGGUUUUUGUACCUGUCUCAUGAAUUUCUGCAAGGGUUUCUCUAGGAUUUAUUCCUGGGAGUGGAAUUUCUGAAACCUUGGAUAAACAGCUUCUCUAGAGAGUUCCAAACCACUCUUCAGAGAGGAUGGGUCAAUCUAAAUUCAACUGGUUGAUGCAAAUAACACUAGGUGAUAUUGUUAAACUACUGGAUAUUUGCCAAUAUGAUGGGUAUGAAAAGAAAUUUUGUUAAUAUUAACCUUUAUUUUCUAGAUUACUAGGGUACUGAGCAUCUGAAAAUGCAUUUAUUGAUUAUUUCCAUUCCUUCCUCUGUGAAUCAUAUGGUCAUCUCUUUGCCUCUUUUUAUAUGAACUGGUUGUCUAUUUCUUAACUUCUUCUAGAAGUUCUUUGUGUUAUUCUGGAUACCACUUAUUUGCUGCUAUAAGUGUCAUCAGUGUCUUCUCCUAUUUGUCUUGUUAGGAGUAUGUGGUGUCUUUUGAUGAAGAUUUGAGCCCAGGGCUGCGUUGGGCAGAGAUGCAGUUCUGUGAUCCUCUUGGGAUCAUGUUUCAAGGCUUUGUUGAUGAGAAUAGCUAAGGAGUGUCCCAUAAAGUGAUUUUCAAAGGUAAGGAAAAUCUUCUGGACAUGUUC
rnacentral:lncRNA from 1 species